rnacentral:tRNA from 1 species
GGGUACAUGGCAGAGCGGUUGAAUGCACCGGUCUUGAAAACCGGCAAGGGUUAACGCCCUUCGGGGGUUCGAAUCCCUCUGUACCCGCCA